rnacentral:rRNA from 1 species
GACAGAGGGGGCAAGCGUUGCUCGGAAUUAUUGGGCGUAAAGCGCACGUAGGCGGCUUGGCAAGUCGGAUGUGAAAUCCCUCGGCUCAACCAAGGAAGUGCAUCCGAAACUGCCGAGCUUGAGUACUUAAGAGGAUCGCGGAAUUCCCGGUGUAGAGGUGAAAUUCGUAGAUAUCGGGAGGAACACCAGUGGCGAAGGCGGCGAUCUGGGAAGAUACUGACGCUGAGGUGCGAAAGCGUGGGGAGCAAACAGG